rnacentral:rRNA from 1 species
CUUGGUCAUUUAGAGGAAGUAAAAGUCGUAACAAGGUUUCCGUAGGUGAACCUGCGGAAGGAUCAUUCAUAAUAAGUGUUUUAUGGCACUUUUUAAAUCCAUAUCCACCUUGUGUGCAAUGUCAGUCGAUCUUCUUCAUGGAGAUCGACCAAACAUCAACCUUUAUCUUUUAACUCUUUGUCUGAAAAAUAUUAUGAAUAAACAAUUCAAAAUACAACUUUCAACAACGGAUCUCUUGGCUCUCGCAUCGAUGAAGAACGCAGCGAAAUGCGAUACGUAAUGUGAAUUGCAGAAUUCAGUGAAUCAUCGAAUCUUUGAACGCAUAUUGCGCUCUUUGGUAUUCCGAAGAGCAUGCUUGUUUGAGUAUCAGUAAACACCUCAAAGCUUUUGGAUUUUUUUUGAAAGCUUUGGACUUGAGCAAUCCCAACGCCAAUCUUUUUCAGAUCGGCGGCGGGUUGCUUGAAAUGCAGGUGCAGCUGGACUUUCUCCUGAGCUAAAAGCAUAUUCAUUUAGUCCCGUCAAACGGAUUAUUACUUUUGCUGCAGCUAACAUAAAGGGAGUUUGACCGUAUUGGCUGACUGAUGCAGGAUUUUACAAGGGUCGGCAACGAUUCUUGUUAAACUCGAUCUCAAAUCAAGUAAGACUACCCGCUGAACUUAAGCAUAUCAAUAAGCGGAGGA